rnacentral:lncRNA from 1 species
GAGGGAAUAAGAAAUGUUGACUGAGUUCAUUGUGUUGUUCUGAUUAAUAGACAAAUCCGAAUUCCAUAUAGAUUUGUUUGACGUUUUGUGAAUUUAUUUAUGAAUUAAAAGUAUAAAAAUCACAUACGCGUAAAUAUGUUGGCCAUAUCUUGCACUUUGUGAUUUAAUUCUUGGAACGAAAACUAUAAGGAGCAUCUUCAUAUUAUCAUAACUUGGAGCAAUUGCAGCUGGAUGUAUAUACAAAUGAUAUAUCAGGAAAUUGAUUCUUGUGAUACUUGAACAUACCAUACGGUAGAAAGAAUUAUGAAGCCGAAGCCAAUAUAGAGAUUAGAGAGGAAUGAAUAUAUAUAUAUACUUCAUUAUUAAAACUCUUACUGAUUUUUUAAAAAACUUUUUAAAUGGACGAUGAUAAUUCCUAAUAGUUUUUAUAGUUUUGAUGUAUGUUUUAUCAUCAAGAUCAACGGUUUUCUAAAACACACAGAAUUCAAGACUUCAUAUGGAUCUUUAUGACUAAUUAAU